AGUGAACGCUGGCGGUAGGCCUAACACAUGCAAGUCGAACGGCAGCACAGUAAGAGCUUGCUCUUACGGGUGGCGAGUGGCGGACGGGUGAGGAAUACAUCGGAAUCUACUUUUUCGUGGGGGAUAACGUAGGGAAACUUACGCUAAUACCGCAUACGACCUACGGGUGAAAGCAGGGGAUCUUCGGACCUUGCUCGAUUGAAUGAGCCGAUGUCGGAUUAGCUAGUUGGCGGGGUAAAGGCCCACCAAGGCGACGAUCCGUAGCUGGUCUGAGAGGAUGAUCAGCCACACUGGAACUGAGACACGGUCCAGACUCCUACGGGAGGCAGCAGUGGGGAAUAUUGGACAAUGGGCGCAAGCCUGAUCCAGCCAUACCGCGUGGGUGAAGAAGGCCUUCGGGUUGUAAAGCCCUUUUGUUGGGAAAGAAAAGCGGCAGGUUAAUACCCCGCUGUUCUGACGGUACCCAAAGAAUAAGCACCGGCUAACUUCGUG
rnacentral:rRNA from 1 species